rnacentral:rRNA from 1 species
AUGUAUAGCAUUGCUACUUGCACCAUUGUAAAAAUGAUGUAAGAUCGACUAUGUUGAAUAAAGUUCUAGGUAGAACUUUGAUAAUGACAUUGUCUACCUAUGUGUCUUGACCAAAUUACGUGCCAGCAGUCGCGGUAAUACGUAGAAGACUAGUGUUAUUCAUGUUUAAUCGGUUUAAAGGGUACCUAGACAGCAGAUCAAGCUUACAACAAGAAAAGGACUAAUCUGAUAGAGUUACUUCUGAGGGGGCUAUAAAGUACUACUGGUGUAGAGAUGAAAUUCUAUGAUACCUUUUUUCGAAAGAAAAGCUAUGGCACAGGUAUAGGCGAAGGCAUCCCCUUAUCGGAUAACUGACGUUGAGGGACGAAGGCUUCGAUUAACGAACAGGAUUAGAGACCCUGGUAGUUGAGGCAGUAAAUGAUGAAUGUCAUAGAUUAGAUAUACAAGUUUAUUCUAUAAAUGAAAGUGUAAGCAUUCCACCUCGAGAGUAAUUUGGCAACAUUGGAACUGAAAUCAUUAGACCGUUUCUGAAACCAGUAGUGAAGUAUGUUGUUUAAUUUGAUAAUCCGCAAAAAACCUUACCACAACUUGAAUAUUUAUGUUGUUAUAUUUACAAGCGUUGCACGGCUGUCUUCAGUUAAUGUCGCGAGACUAUGGUUAGUUCCAUUAAUUAACGUAAACCCUUACUUUAUUUUUAUAUAGAGUAGUUCCCCACUAUAUGGAUAUGAU